rnacentral:rRNA from 1 species
UGGUGGAGUGAUUUGUCUGGCUAAUUCCGUUAACGAACGAGACCUUAACCUGUUAAAUAGUUACACAUAACUCCGGCUAUGUGGGCAACUCCUUAGAGGGACUUUGUGUGUAUAACGCAAGGAAGUUUGAGGCAAUAACA